GCUGCUUAAAAUACUGUUUGUGCUUUUCAUUUAGGUGGCUGUACUCCAAUCCCAGAGUCAGACACAGAGGAAAGAUCACCAGAAGAGUCCGCAGAACUGUUUACCAACCACAAGCACCUCAUUGCAGAGACCCCCGUGCCUGAAGUUGCAGCCCUCCAAGGAGUUUUGGAAUAGUCAGAGUCAAGCUAACUAGAUGGAAGGAAGACACCCUUUCUGAGGCCAACCCUGUGUGGACAUUGUGCUCCUACCUGGUGCUGUGCCAAGCUCACCCCUGGAGGUGACUUCGUGGAGAUGGGGACAGAGCUUUUGAUUGUGCUGGGAGAACUUGGAAUAUCACAGAUGGGUCAUCUGAAAGACAAGAUUUGUCUUUUCUUCCCAGGAAAACUGUUGCUACCCUUAGUCAUGAGUGCUUAUAGAUAGGGGAUAUAGCAAGAUGACAAAUAUAUAAUGACUAUAUAAUGCAGGGAUCUCGAUGUAAAAUAAUUUGAUAGCCCCCUUUUUCACAGAUUUCUUAUGUAGUAAAUGUAUCAAGUUUAAUAAAGCAUCUAACGGUCAAACAAUAAUGUGGACAUAAUUUGUAACAA